GAGAGAGAGCAUGUAUCAUCAAAACUUCUUACAUGCCACCAUGGACUUUCACAUUCAUUUAUCCUUUCAGUUCAAAAUCAAAUAUGUAACUCUUAAGAAAACAAGUCAAGCCUAACUCACCCCCAAAAGUUAGCUUCGGGAAGGAGGAGUGUCCAAGGCCUUAAAAGGGGCACAUUUGGUUUGAGAUAUUAAAACAUCCCCUCACGCACAAAACUGAACAUCUAGAGCGUGAAACACUUAUGAGAGACCCA
rnacentral:misc_RNA from 1 species